rnacentral:rRNA from 1 species
GGCAUGCGCAGCUACCAUGCAGUCGAGCGGUAAAGUUAGUUUGUUGCUCCUCUGAUGACCACCGGGGGGCGGGUGAGUAAUGCUUGGGAAUGUUCCUUAUGGUGGGGGACAACAGUUGGAAACGACUGCUAAUACCGCUUAAUGUCUUCCGACCAUUAACGGGGACCUUCUGGCCUCGCGCCAAUGGAUCUGCCCAAGUGGGAUUAGCUAGGAGGUGAGGUAAUGGCUCACCAAGGCGACGAUCCCUAGCUGGGUUAAGAAGAUGACCCGCCCCGCUGCGACUGAGACACCGCCACUACUCCUACAGGAGGCAGCGAGGAGGAAUGUUGCACGAAGGGCGCAAGCAUGAUGCCAUGCUGCCGGGUGUGUGAAGAACGCCUUCGGGUUGUACUGCUCUUUCACUAAAGAAGAAAGGUUGGAUGUUAAUAUGAUUAAGCUGUGACGUUACUUACCAAAGAAUCACCCCCUAACUCCGUGCGCGCAACCACGGAAGUACGGAGGGUGCGACCGAAUCUCUGAAUUACUGGGCGUAAAACGUACGCUAGCGGUUUGUUAAUCAAGAUGUGCAACUCCCCUGCUCAACCUGGGAACUGCAUUUCGAACUUGAAUUCUAAAGAGUGAUAUAGAAUGGUAGAAUUUCCGGUGAAAUGCAUAAAUAUUACUUAGAUCUACCGAUUGACCGAUGGCAUCACUACUACUCUGGGACGCUGAGGGACUCAUGUACGAGAACGUGGGGGAGAAACAGC